rnacentral:misc_RNA from 1 species
GAUGAAGAACGCAGCGAAAUGCGAUAAGUAAUGCGAAUUGCAGAAUUUCCGUGAGUCAUCGAAUCUUUGAACGCACAUUGCGCCCGCCAGCAUUCUGGCGGGCAUGCCUGUUCGAGCGUCAUUUCAACCCUCGACCUCCCCUUGGGGAGGUCGGCGUUGGGGACCGGCAGCACACCGCCGGCCCUGAAAUGGAGUGGCGGCCCGUCCGCGGCGACCUCUGCGCAGUAAUACAGCUCGCACCGGGACCCCGACGCGGCCACGCCGUAAAACACCCAACUUCUGAACGUUGACCUCGAAUCAGGUAGGACUACCCGCUGAACUUAAGCAUAUCAAUAAGCGGAGGA